UACGUAGGGUGCGAGCGUUAAUCGGAAUUACUGGGCGUAAAGCGUGCGCAGGCGGCUUUGCAAGACAGAUGUGAAAUCCCCGGGCUUAACCUGGGAACUGCAUUUGUGACUGCACGGCUAGAGUGUGUCAGAGGGGGGUAGAAUUCCACGUGUAGCAGUGAAAUGCGUAGAGAUGUGGAGGAAUACCGAUGGCGAAGGCAGCCCCCCUGGGAUAACACUGACGCCUCAUGCACGAAAGGCGUGGGGGAGCAAAACAGG
rnacentral:rRNA from 1 species